rnacentral:tRNA from 1 species
UGGGGUGUAGUUCAGUUGGUAGAACGCUUGAUUCUGGCUCAAGAAGUCGGGGGUUCAAAUCCUCCCACCCCAGCCA